CUGCCUUACACAGGGGGAUAACACCUGGAAACAGGUGCUAAUACCGCAUAAGCGCACAGGGCCGCAUGGCCCGGUGUGAAAAACUCCGGUGGUGUAAGAUGGACCCGCGUCUGAUUAGCUUGUUGGCGGGGUAGGGGCCCACCAAGGCGACGAUCAGUAGCCGGCCUGAGAGGGUGGACGGCCACAUUGGGACUGAGACACGGCCCAAACUCCUACGGGAGGCAGCAGUGGGGGAUAUUGGACAAUGGGGGAAACCCUGAUCCAGCGACGCCGCGUGAGUGAAGAAGUAUUUCGGUAUGUAAAGCUCUGUCAGCAGGGAAGAAAGAAAUGACGGUACCUGACCAAGAAGCCCCGGCUAACUACGUGCCAGCAGCCGCGGUAAUACGUAGGGGGCAAGCGUUAUCCGGAAUUACUGGGUGUAAAGGGAGCGUAGACGGUGAUGCAAGUCUGGAGUGAAAGGCGGGGGCCCAACCCCCGGACUGCUCUGGAAACUGUGUAACUUGAGUGCAGGAGAGGUAAGCGGAAUUCCUAGUGUAGCGGUGAAAUGCGUAGAUAUUAGGAGGAACACCAGUGGCGAAGGCGGCUUACUGGACUGUAACUGACGUUGAGGCUCGAAAGCGUGGGGAGCAAACAGGAUUAGAUACCCUGGUAGUCCACGCCGUAAACGAUGA
rnacentral:rRNA from 1 species